CAGUCGCCACGGUAAUACGUAGGGUGCGAGCGUUAAUCGGAAUUACUGGGCGUAAAGCGUGCGCAGGCGGUUAUGCAAGACAGAUGUGAAAUCCCCGGGCUCAACCUGGGAACUGCAUUUGUGACUGCAUGACUAGAGUACGGCAGAGGGGGAUGGAAUUCCGCGUGUAGCAGUGAAAUGCGAAGAUAUGCGGAGGAACACCGAUGGCGAAGGCAAUCCCCUGGGCCAAUACUGACGCUCAUGCACGAAAGCGUGGGGAGCAAACAGGAUUAGAUACCCCCGUAGUCCCUGUCUCUUAUAC
rnacentral:rRNA from 1 species